UAAGGAAUAUUGGUCAAUGGACGGAAGUCUGAACCAGCCAUGCCGCGUGCAGGAAGACGGCCCUAUGGGUUGUAAACUGCUUUUAUACGGGAAUAAACCUACUUACGUGUAAGUAGCUGAAUGUACUGUAAGAAUAAGGAUCGGCUAACUCCGUGC
rnacentral:rRNA from 1 species